GGGGAAUAUUGGACAAUGGGGGCAACCCUGAUCCAGCCAUGCCGCGUGUGUGAAGAAGGCCUUCAGGUUGUAAAGCACUUUAAGCGAGGAGGAAGGUCUUUGAACUAAUAUUUCAAAGAAUUGACGUUACUCGCAGAAUAAGCACCGGCUAACUCUGUGCCAGCAGCCGCGGUAAUACAGAGGGUGCAAGCGUUAAUCGGAAUUACUGGGCGUAAAGCGCGCGUAGGCGGUAUGUUAAGUCGGAUGUGAAAUCCCUGGGCUCAACCUAGGCAUUGCAUCCGAUACUGGCACACUAGAGUGUGGGAGAGGAAGGUAGAAUUCCAGGUGUAGCGGUGAAAUGCGUAGAGAUCUGGAGGAAUACCGAUGGCGAAGGCAGCCUUCUGGCCUAACACUGACGCUGAGGUGCGAAAGCAUGGGGAGCAAAC
rnacentral:rRNA from 1 species